rnacentral:rRNA from 1 species
AUUGAGCAACACGUCCCACGCGUCGAAAGUCGAAACUACCUCGGCCUGAGAGUGAGGCCCCGUCGAUUGCUCGCAUUCCGAUCCCCAUUCUGCGCCGCCACAUGGCACGGACGGCUCCGGUCGCCGACGCCGACACCAUCGCUGUCCUCGGCGGCGACCUCCUGCGGGAGGUCUUCCUCCACCUCCCCACCCCUGCCGACCUCCUCCGCGCGGCGCUCGCCUGCAAGCCCUUCAUCCACGCCGCCCGCAGCGCCCGCUUCCUCCGCCGCUUCCGCCGCCGCCACCCCUCCGCCUGCCCGCUCCUCCUCGGCUGCUUCGUCCACCGCCCCAGUGAGGACCGCUGCCGCGAAGACCCCAGCCCUCUCCUUCUCCCCGCCCCCCUUCCCGCCGCCGCGCGCCGCGUCGUCGAGGGCGGCGACUUCGCGCUCUCCUUUCUGCCCGACCGCGGCUCGUCGGGCCCCGACCCGUGGAGGGUCUUGGACAGCCGCAGCGGCCGGCCCCUGCUGUGGGAUCGGGCGUCCGCGGAGCAGCCCGUCGCCGAUCCGUGGAAGGUCUUGGACUGCCGCAACGGCCGCCUCCUGCUGCGCAAUCGGGUGUCCGGAGAGCUGGCCGUCGCCGAUCCCUUGACCCGGCGCUGGGCCUCUCUCCCCGCGCCCCCGGCUGAGCGCCCCGUGGGGUACGGCCUCGUCACCGACGACGGCUGCUCGUCGGUGUUCCAGGCGUUCUGCCUUUCAGAAGACGGCGGGGGCUCCUCCGGGCUCCGCGCCCUGGUCCUCUCCUCCAGCGAGCUCCGAUGGGCCGACGCCGCUGUCCUCGCGGGCCAGUACAAUCUCGAGGACUCCCGGGUGAUGCAAGCCAACGGGUCGCUUUACUGGAAGCUCAAGGGCGGGGAGCGCAUGGUUGCGCUCAACACGGCGACGAUGGCGUUCUCCUUGCUGGAGCUCCCGGAUUUCGCGCGGCAGUUCAGCUUCGAUGUCAUUGAGAAGGGGGACGACGAUGCUGGCGGGCUCUACCUGCUCACCAUGCUCGGAUGCUGCAUCGAGGUAUGGGGCGGCUGGGAUGAUGGCAGCGGUGUGCUAACAUGGACACUGGUGGACAAGUCGGUGAGGUUCCAAAGGGCCAUGGCGGAGAUGAUUGGUUCACCACAGUUUUACCGGCAUGGGCUGGUUGUCAUUGCGGUGGUUGCCGGUGUGGUCUUCUUGCGCAAUAAGGAUCGCCUGCUCUCCAUUGAUUUGGAAACUAUGAAGCUGAGGAUGUUGGUUCGGAAAGACGAGUGCCCAUCGGCCCUGAUGUAUCCUUACACGAUGGCGUGGCCGCCUUCAUGCUUGAACCCUACUGAACAAGAAAUGUGAGGCUCACUACAUCUUAUGAUGAUAAUAAGGUUUUGUGCAGAGGUAACGAAGAGGAAGGAAUUCAAUCAUCCAUACGAUGGUUGCGGCGCAACCAGUUGUGCCUAAAUGUCUGAACCUCGUACGAUGUAAUUAGUUACUUUUAUGUUCUUGGUGUGUGUUUGUGUGGUCACUCUAUAAUCCGACUUCGUAAUCUGGGGAAUGCAGUAUGUAGCACGCUUCCUUCCUGACUGUUGUAUUGUACCAGUUCAUCUGUCUCCUCAAAUUUGUGUGAUACAAUCCUAGUCGAGGUUGGAGUGUGUCUCCUUCGAUACAGAUGCAUGGAUUAUAUCUCAGUGUAAUAAAUGGGCUUACAGAAUCAUGCACAGGUAAUAAACUGAAGACUGAAGAGUAUCAGUUUGUGUCUGAGCCUUCUUAUCUAACCCCUGAAGAAUUUCUGAGAUGCACCACGGAUGGAGACAGCAGCCUCAGGUUUUGGGCCCUGUUUCCUUAGUUUAUCUGGGUCGACAAUUAGGGUUUUGUAGCCUAGUAAUUUCCUACUAUCAUGAAUGCAUAUGGACUUACGACUACAAUGACGUUUCUGAUGUUCAUAAAUGCUUUCCCCCUUGCAGUGCAAUUUUCCUUCAAACUUCUGCGUUUCUUCACACGAAACUGCUCCGUGGACGACGAAUGCAUGCACGACAGCGGCCUCGUGUGCAUAGCAGCGCUGUUCUUCACAUGUUACUGUCAAAGUGUUGAUUCUUCCACUGUGCCCAUAUACAUUUAGAAAGUAACAAAGAUAGGACCGCAAUAUCUGGGAAAUGUUCCUUGCCAGAGAUGACAUUUGCGAACGACCCAGUUGGCAUUUUUAGGGACACAGCUCCUUUGGGUUUGUGACGUGUGGGCCAGCAACCCGUUGAGCCCACAUGUCAUGCACACAAUGGCAGGAGCGAGUCUCAUUUUUAGUGUUAUUUGGGUGGCAAUUUUAGUGUAGUGCAAGGCAGUUCGUUUGUUUUGAGGCAAAUUUCUUCGAAAACUGCUAUCCGAGCGAUCUGGAUGGUGUGUGGCUUGAGGUGGUUCACUGGGAAACGUCAAUGGAGAAGGUCGGACAGAUAACAUUUCCGUAAUAAGGAUAUCAUGGCAAUUCAUGUUCUUGAAACG